GCUCUGGGGAGAAAAGCAAAUCAACAGAGUCAGUGGCUGUGUCCACCCAGUCAGAGGAGUCUGUCCUUGAUGGCUUUAGUUUUCCUAAAACGUAAAAAUGCUUUACGUCAACUAAGAAAGAUAAAGCAACUGGGUUCCAAUGGGUCACUUGAGGUAUCCUAAGAACUCAGAUAUCAAGUUCCCCAAAGACACCCCCAGGUUGAGUCAGCUAAGAAGUGAGUCAGCCAGAAUGCCAUGGUCACCCGCUGAUCCCUCUUGGGCUCCCUAAAACCCAAAGGUCUCCGACAUCAGAGCCAGCAAGACAUACUGUUCCAAAGCGUGUCAAGAAGCUCUACGGAAAUCAUACUUGAACCCAUAACGGCUCCCAAAGCCUAACAAGGCAGCUGAUAAUGGCUUUGCCAGGAACGUGAGUCCACACUGGUUAUCUCGAAUUUAUCCAGGAAAUUAGUUUUUAAUUUAAAAAGGAAAACAAACUAAUUAUGAGUUAAGAACACAUAGCUCAUUUGCUCGGAAGGUACACUCAAAGCAAGAAGAAAGAAAAACCAGAGGGGUUUAUCGGUGGUGAAAUUGGCAAAUCCUGGAUCGGUUUACUGGGGAGUGCUCCUCCUACUGGCAAAUACUGGAACAACAAGGAAGAUUGGUUCCAGGACCUCCAGGUCAUCGUUUUAAAUUCGUGAUUAUGGUAUCUCCCCUACCAGCUUCUUGAGACCCUUGAGACCCUUGCCGGAAGCCAAACAGAUGCUGGUGCCUUGCUUCCUGUACAACCUGCAGAAUUGUGAGCCAAAUAAACCUCUUUCCUUUAUAAAUUACCCAGUCUCAGGUAUUCCUUUAUAGCAAGGCAAAAUGUGUUAAUGCAAAAUAUACCUGUUCUUAGUUCCAUUUUCCAUAGGAGGGAACUGAGGCUCGGAAACAUUCUAUCGCCUUGCCCAGGGUCACCCGUCAGAAAGUGCUGACCAGGAAUCAUUCAUCCCUUCUACCCUGUUUGUGUCCCUCCAGGGAAGGGGCAGAGCUGGAGGACUAAUCUAGAAGGCUGCAUAUGUGGGGUGGGUUUCCCCAGGGCCCCGUUCAGUCCUGGGAAAAGGAAACUAGUACUAAGAGCCACCAUUGGUUGAGCACCGGUAUGCUAAACACUGCUGGACAAUUUAUGUGUGUUAUCUGGUUUCAUACUCAACACUGGAAGCAAGUA